AGGACGAACGCUGGCGGCGCGCCUAAUACAUGCAAGUCGAGCGAGAACCAGGACUUCGGUCCUGGGGAGAGCGGCGAACGGGUGCGUAUCACGUGAGCAACCUGCCUCGGAGACCGGAAUAACUCGAGGAAACUCGGGCUAAUGCCGGAUGCCCUCGGUGGACCGCAUGGUCCGGCGAGGAAAUGGAUUCCGCUCCGAGAUGGGCUCGCGGCCUAUCAGCUUGUUGGUGGGUAACGGCCUACCAAGGCAACGACGGGUAGCUGGUCUGAGAGGACGAUCAGCCACACUGGGACUGAGACACGGCCCAGACUCCUACGGGAGGCAGCAGUAGGGAAUCUUGCGCAAUGGGGGAAACCCUGACGCAGCGACGCCGCGUGCGGGAUGAAGGCCUUCGGGUCGUAAACCGCUUUCAGCAGGGACGAAAUUGACGGUACCUGCAGAAGAAGGCCCGGCCAACUACGCGCCAGCAGCCGCGGUAA
rnacentral:rRNA from 1 species